GGCAGGAUGGCCGAGCGGUCUAAGGCGCUAGACUCAAGUGUUUCCACACUUCUGUUCUCUCCAAGAACAGAGCAUUCUAGUAUCGAAAGGUGCGCGGGUUCGAAUCCCGCUCCUGUCA